rnacentral:rRNA from 1 species
GACGAACGCUGGCGGCGUGCUUAACACAUGCAAGUCGAACGGAAAGGCCCUUUCGGGGGUGCUCGAGUGGCGAACGGGUGAGUAACACGUGGGUGAUCUGCCCUGCACUCUGGGAUAAGCCUGGGAAACUGGGUCUAAUACCGGAUAGGACUACGCGCUGCAUGGUGUGUGGUGGAAAGCUUUUGCGGUGUGGGAUGGGCCCGCGGCCUAUCAGCUUGUUGGUGGGGUGAUGGCCUACCAAGGCGACGACGGGUAGCCGGCCUGAGAGGGUGACCGGCCACACUGGGACUGAGAUACGGCCCAGACUCCUACGGGAGGCAGCAGUGGGGAAUAUUGCACAAUGGGCGCAAGCCUGAUGCAGCGACGCCGCGUGAGGGAUGACGGCCUUCGGGUUGUAAACCUCUUUCGCCUACGACGAAGCGUAGUGAC